AGCGUUCGUAGCUGGUUUGUUAAGUCUCUGGGGAAAUCUUCCGGCUUAACCGGAAGGCGUCUCAGGGAUACUGGCAGACUAGGGACCGGAAGAGGUGAGGGGUACUUCAGGGGUAGGAGUGAAAUCCUGUAAUCCUUGAGAGACCACCUGUGGCGAAGGCGCCUCACCAGGACGGCUCCGACAGUGAGGGACGAAAGCUGGGGGAGCAAACCGGAUUAGAUACCCGGGUAGUCCCAGCCGUAAACGAUGUGCGUUAGGUGUAUCGGUGACCACGAGUCACCGAGGUGCCGAAGAGAAAUCGUGAAACGUACCGCCUGGGAAGUACGGUCGCAAGGCUGAAACUUAAAGGAAUUGGCGGGGGAGCACCACAACAGGUGGAGCCUGCGGUUUAAUCGGACUCAACGCCGGAAAACUCACCAGAUAAGACAGCUGAAUGAUAGUCGGGCUGAAGACUCUACUUGACUAGCUGAGAGGUGGUG
rnacentral:rRNA from 1 species